rnacentral:rRNA from 1 species
AUAUUGGGGCUAAGCAUCCGUAGCUCGUUUUGUAAGUUUUCGGUUAAAUCCAUGCGCCUUAACGUAUGGGCUGCCGGGAAUACUGCAUAACUAGGAAUUGGCGGGGGAGCACAG